ACGCACGCUGGCGGCGUGCUUAACACAUGCAAGUCGAACGGAAAGGCCCUGCUUGCAGGGUACUCGAGUGGCGAACGGGUGAGUAACACGUGGGUGAUCUGCCCUGCACUUCGGGAUAAGCUUGGGAAACUGGGUCUAAUACCGGAUAGGAGCCAUCUUUAGUGUGGUGGUUGGAAAGUUUUUUCGGUGUAGGAUGAGCUCGCGGCCUAUCAGCUUGUUGGUGGGGUAAUGGCCUACCAAGGCGGCGACGGGUAGCCGGCCUGAGAGGGUGUACGGCCACAUUGGGACUGAGAUACGGCCCAGACUCCUACGGGAGGCAGCAGGGGGGAAUAUUGCACAAUGGGCGCAAGCCUGAUGCAGCGACGCCGCGUGGGGGAUGAAGGCCUUCGGGUUGUAAACUCCUUUCGCUAGGGACGAAGCUUUUUUGUGACGGUACCUAGAUAAGAAGCACCGGCUAACUACGUG
rnacentral:rRNA from 1 species